rnacentral:rRNA from 1 species
UACGUAGGGUGCAAGCGUUGUCCGGAAUUAUUGGGCGUAAAGAGCUCGUAGGUGGCCUGUCGCGUCGGCUGUGAAAACUCGGGGCUCAACUCCGAGCUUGCAGUCGAUACGGGCAGGCUAGAGUUCGGCAGGGGAGACUGGAAUUCCUGGUGUAGCGGUGAAAUGCGCAGAUAUCGGGAGGAACACCAAUGGCGAAGGCAGCUCGCUGGGACGGUACUGACGCUGAGGCGCGAAAGCGUGGGGAGCAAACAGG